AGAGUUUGAUCCUGGCUCAGGAUGAACGCUAGCGACAGGCUUAACACAUGCAAGUCGAGGGGCAGCACAGGUAGCAAUACCGGGUGGCGACCGGCGCACGGGUGAGUAACGCGUAUGCAACUUGCCUAUCAGAGGGGGAUAACCCGGCGAAAGUCGGACUAAUACCGCAUGAAGCAGGGGCCCCGCAUGGGGAUAUUUGCUAAAGAUUCAUCGCUGAUAGAUAGGCAUGCGUUCCAUUAGGCAGUUGGCGGGGUAACGGCCCACCAAACCGACGAUGGAUAGGGGUUCUGAGAGGAAGGUCCCCCACAUUGGUACUGAGACACGGACCAAACUCCUACGGGAGGCAGCAGUGAGGAAUAUUGGUCAAUGGGCGUAAGCCUGAACCAGCCAAGUCGCGUGAGGGAUGAAGGUUCUAUGGAUCGUAAACCUCUUUUAUAAGGGAAUAAAGUGCGGGACGUGUCCCGUUUUGUAUGUACCUUAUGAAUAAGGAUCGGCUAACUCCGUGCCAGCAGCCGCGGUAAUACGGAGGAUCCGAGCGUUAUCCGGAUUUAUUGGGUUUAAAGGGUGCGUAGGCGGCCUUUUAAGUCAGCGGUGAAAGUCUGUGGCUCAACCAUAGAAUUGCCGUUGAAACUGGGGGGCUUGAGUAUGUUUGAGGCAGGCGGAAUGCGUGGUGUAGCGGUGAAAUGCUUAGAUAUCACGCAGAACCCCGAUUGCGAAGGCAGCCUGCCAAGCCAUGACUGACGCUGAUGCACGAAAGCGUGGGGAUCAAACAGGAUUAGAUACCCUGGUAGUCCACGCAGUAAACGAUGAUCACUAGCUGUUUGCGAUACAGUGUAAGCGGCACAGCGAAAGCGUUAAGUGAUCCACCUGGGGAGUACGCCGGCAACGGUGAAACUCAAAGGAAUUGACGGGGGCCCGCACAAGCGGAGGAACAUGUGGUUUAAUUCGAUGAUACGCGAGGAACCUUACCCGGGUUUGAACGCAUUCGGACCGAGGUGGAAACACCUUUUCUAGCAAUAGCCGUUUGCGAGGUGCUGCAUGGUUGUCGUCAGCUCGUGCCGUGAGGUGUCGGCUUAAGUGCCAUAACGAGCGCAACCCUUGCCACUAGUUACUAACAGGUUAGGCUGAGGACUCUGGUGGGACUGCCAGCGUAAGCUGCGAGGAAGGCGGGGAUGACGUCAAAUCAGCACGGCCCUUACAUCCGGGGCGACACACGUGUUACAAUGGCGUGGACAAAGGGAAGCCACCUGGCGACAGGGAGCGAAUCCCCAAACCACGUCUCAGUUCGGAUCGGAGUCUGCAACCCGACUCCGUGAAGCUGGAUUCGCUAGUAAUCGCGCAUCAGCCAUGGCGCGGUGAAUACGUUCCCGGGCCUUGUACACACCGCCCGUCAAGCCAUGGGAGCCGGGGGUACCUGAAGUCCGUAACCGAAAGGAUCGGCCUAGGGUAAAACUGGUGACUGGGGCUAAGUCGUAACAAGGUAGCCGUACCGGAAGGUGCGGCUG
rnacentral:rRNA from 1 species